rnacentral:pre_miRNA from 1 species
AAUGACACGAUCACUCCCGCUGAGCGGGCAGCCUGAGGCCAUCGGGGAUGUCGUGUCUGUCC